GGGUCCGGACACACUGAGGAUUGACAGGCAAUUAUUGCUAACAGUUUCUUUUUUUAAAAGUACUGUUGCAACAACAAAUAUGCUAGUCCUUUCAUGAUUAUGUGAUAGGUGGUGCAUGGCCGUUCUUAGUUCGUGGAGUGAUCUGUCUGCUUAAUUGCGUUUCAUUAUGGACCAUGUUAUAACAUGUACUAUCUCUUGAUUUUCAAAUUCUCAUUUAUUUGAGAUUUGUUAUAAAGAAGGAGUUUUGGUGCAAUUGGUCCUGAAAGCAACGAACGUGACCGCAUCCUCUUGUUGCCUUUUUAACUUGGCAUUUUUUUUAAUUUAUUUUAACAUUUUUGUCAUAACAUAAGAGGCUUUCAGAAAACUAGAGGGACCGCUGCGACUUUUUUAAACCAGAGGAAGGUUGCGGCAAUAACAGGUCUGUGAUGCCCUUAGAUGUUCCGGGCUGCACACGUGCUACAAUGAUUAUUGCAGUGAGCAUCUCAUUUUAUUUUUUGUGCUUGUCUUGUCUGCGAGUUUAUUCUCAACGACGACAGCCUUAGCCUGCUUCGAAAGUUCGCAGGU
rnacentral:rRNA from 1 species